rnacentral:siRNA from 1 species
AAUCCACCGGUUCACCUGC